GUUGAAGAACUAUGUUGAACGCGCAGAGAUGUUAGCGCUACAUCUAAGUUAGCGCUUACACUGUUUAUGCUAAUGUAUGCGGAAAUGUGGAAGGCUGCGGGGACACAACUGAGCCCUGAGAUAGACUGGAGACUGUACCCUGCCUCUUGCCCUAUGACUUCAACUCCAGGCCUUGAAGAUCGGUGUCCUGCAGGUGUGUUGACCCAGGGUGAGAUCUAAAACAUGCAGGACAUCGGCCCUGGAGGCCUGGAGUUGGAGACCCCUGCCAUAUCACAACUGGUAGGCCUCAACCCCGGCAUGACCUUGAAUUCGAUAAUCAGAAGAAGAUGGAUGGAUGGAUGGAUGGAUGGAUGGGUGGGUGGGUGGACAGAUGGACCAU